AUUGGGUCCUGCGCAAUGGAAAUUCAUGAACCCCGUCAGGUCCGGAAGGAAGCAGCGGUAAGUGAACCCUUUCAUGUGCCGCAGGGCUGCCUGAUUGGAGCUAACUGCCCGGGUAACGCUUGUAGGUGCACGUCGAGGGAAGGUGCACGG
rnacentral:SRP_RNA from 1 species